rnacentral:rRNA from 1 species
GCUUGCUCCCGGAUGUUAGCGGCGGACGGGUGAGUAACACGUGGGUAACCUGCCUGUAAGACUGGGAUAACUCCGGGAAACCGGAGCUAAUACCGGAUAGUUCCUUGAACCGCAUGGUUCAAGGAUGAAAGACGGUUUCGGCUGUCACUUACAGAUGGACCCGCGGCGCAUUAGCUAGUUGGUGGGGUAAUGGCUCACCAAGGCGACGAUGCGUAGCCGACCUGAGAGGGUGAUCGGCCACACUGGGACUGAGACACGGCCCAGACUCCUACGGGAGGCAGCAGUAGGGAAUCUUCCGCAAUGGACGAAAGUCUGACGGAGCAACGCCGCGUGAGUGAUGAAGGUUUUCGGAUCGUAAAGCUCUGUUGUUAGGGAAGAACAAGUGCGAGAGUAACUGCUCGCACCUUGACGGUACCUAACCAGAAAGCCACGGCUAACUACGUGCCAGCAGCCGCGGUAAUACGUAGGUGGCAAGCGUUGUCCGGAAUUAUUGGGCGUAAAGGGCUCGCAGGCGGUUUCUUAAGUCUGAUGUGAAAGCCCCCGGCUCAACCCGGGGAGGGUCAUUGGAAACUGGGAAACUUGAGUGCAGAAGAGGAGAGUGGAAUUCCACGUGUAGCGGUGAAAUGCGUAGAGAUGUGGAGGAACACCAGUGGCGAAGGCGACUCUCUGGUCUGUAACUGACGCUGAGGAGCGAAAGCGUGGGGAGCGAACAGGAUUAGAUACCCUGGUAGUCCACGCCGUAAACGAUGAGUGCUAAGUGUUAGGGGGUUUCCGCCCCUUAGUGCUGCAGCUAACGCAUUAAGCACUCCGCCUGGGGAGUACGGUCGCAAGACUGAAACUCAAAGGAAUUGACGGGGGCCCGCACAAGCGGUGGAGCAUGUGGUUUAAUUCGAAGCAACGCGAAGAACCUUACCAGGUCUUGACAUCCUCUGACAACCCUAGAGAUAGGGCUUUCCCUUCGGGGACAGAGUGACAGGUGGUGCAUGGUUGUCGUCAGCUCGUGUC